CUGUUAGAUAUUAUCUUGAAUGAAAUAUUGACACGUUCGAUGGAUGUUUGGACUUCAUGGCGGCCAUUCGGGAGCAGCCAGAAUGAUCUAAUAAGGAAGUCGACAAAAUCCACCCUUCUUUGAUGUCAGGGGCGGCCAUUUUGCCCCCCGCUGUCGACUGAAAAUGACAUCACAGUUGCUCAGGGCUCAGGUAACGACCAUUCACGGCUCACCUGUUUUCUGAGUUUGGUCAUGUGACACUCGCAAAUCGCAUUCCCAGUCAUAUUUGAGAAAGAAACUGGAUUUGGAAAUGUAAAACAAACAAAAAAAAGAA